AACGAUGAACCACUUCGGUGGGGAUUAGUGGCGAACGGGUGAGUAACACGUGGGCAAUCUGCCCUUCACUCUGGGACAAGCCCUGGAAACGGGGUCUAAUACCGGAUAACACUGCGGAUCGCAUGGUCUGCGGUUAAAAGCUCCGGCGGUGAAGGAUGAGCCCGCGGCCUAUCAGCUUGUUGGUGAGGUAAUGGCUCACCAAGGCGACGACGGGUAGCCGGCCUGAGAGGGCGACCGGCCACACUGGGACUGAGACACGGCCCAGACUCCUACGGGAGGCAGCAGUGGGGAAUAUUGCACAAUGGGCGAAAGCCUGAUGCAGCGACGCCGCGUGAGGGAUGACGGCCUUCGGGUUGUAAACCUCUUUCAGCAGGGAAGAAGCGAAAGUGACGGUACCUGCAGAAGAAGCGCCGGCUAACUACGUGCCAGCAGCCGCGGUAAUACGUAGGGCGCAAGCGUUGUCCGGAAUUAUUGGGCGUAAAGAGCUCGUAGGCGGCUUGUCACGUCGAUUGUGAAAGCCCGAGGCUUAACCUCGGGUCUGCAGUCGAUACGGGCUAGCUAGAGUUCGGUAGGGGAGAUCGGAAUUCCUGGUGUAGCGGUGAAAUGCGCAGAUAUCAGGAGGAACACCGGUGGCGAAGGCGGAUCUCUGGGCCGAUACUGACGCUGAGGAGCGAAAGCGUGGGGAGCGAACAGGAUUAGAUACCCUGGUAGUCCACGCCGUAAACGGUGGGCACUAGGUGUGGGCAACAUUCCACGUUGUCCGUGCCGCAGCUAACGCAUUAAGUGCCCCGCCUGGGGAGUACGGCCGCAAGGCUAAACUCAAAGGAAUUGACGGGGGCCCGCACAAGCGGCGGAGCAUGUGGCUUAAUUCGACGCAACGCGAAGAACCUUACCAAGGCUUGACAUACACCGGAAAGCACCAGAGAUGGUGCCCCCCUUGUGGUCGGUGUACAGGUGGUGCAUGGCUGUCGUCAGCUCGUGUCGUGAGAUGUUGGGUUAAGUCCCGCAACGAGCGCAACCCUUGUCCCGUGUUGCCAGCAGGCCCUUGUGGUGCUGGGGACUCACGGGAGACCGCCGGGGUCAACUCGGAGGAAGGUGGGGACGACGUCAAGUCAUCAUGCCCCUUAUGUCUUGGGCUGCACACGUGCUACAAUGGCCGGUACAAUGAGCUGCGAUACCGUGAGGUGGAGCGAAUCUCAAAAAGCCGGUCUCAGUUCGGAUUGGGGUCUGCAACUCGACCCCAUGAAGUCGGAGUCGCUAGUAAUCGCAGAUCAGCAUUGCUGCGGUGAAUACGUUCCCGGGCCUUGUACACACCGCCCGUCACGUCACGAAAGUCGGUAACACCCGAAGCCGGUGGCCCAACCCCUUGUGGGGGCAG
rnacentral:rRNA from 1 species